rfam:Deltaproteobacteria bacterium RIFOXYA2_FTLL_55_11 rifoxya2_full_scaffold_5505, whole genome shotgun sequence.
GUAGCACCCGCCCUGUGGGGCGGGCGAGGAUUGAAAC